rnacentral:ncRNA from 1 species
AGAGUAUUGAGAGAACUUUUUCCUAGUACGAGAGGAUCGGGAAGGACGCACCUCUGAUGUACCAAUAUUGUGCCUACGGUAAAUACCGGGUAACCAAGUGUGAUAACUGCUGAAAGUAUCUAAGUAGUAAGUCCACAGCAAGAUGAGUGCUCU